GUGCGCCGUUUACACGUUUGCCCUUAUAUGAUAUGUAUCUUAUGUAUAUCUUGUAUUUUGCAGCAUGUUCAAGAAUAUUUCUGCAUGGUGCACUCUGACUGUUGAUAAUAUUUGCAUACUGAAAUGACUUCAACAACCAGAAUGUGUUUUUGAUAAAUAUUAGUAAUAAUAGAAACUUUAAUCCAUUCCUUGAUUUGUCACUUCAAAAUAUCUCAAAGAAGUGAACCUUAGACAAACUGCUGGUGUAUUGUGGAAGUUAAGAAGGUAGAGAUGAAUCUCAAAAUAUUGCUAAACUUUUUGACCAGACAGUUCAAAUGUCCACAAGACCUGCACAAAAGAACUCUGCAUCAAAUGUCCACAAGACCUGCAAAAGUGAUAAUGCAGAUAAUAUCCUAGCAGCCAUCCAAAAACUAACAGAGAAAAAUCAGGAAUGCCUUGGGAAUAUGUCAUUCAAACUCACAAAAGCAGCAUUUACCAACAUUUACAAUCAAAAAGAAUAUGUCAUGAUAAACAAUAAAUGUAGGUACGAUUCAAACAUUGAAACAGCGCAAUAUGAUGACAUCAGUGAAAAAUGGUUUCAUUGCGAUGGAAGUAACUAUAUUCGUCGCAUCUUGUUAAAUCCUACACAUGUUAAAUUGUUAAGUAGUUCUUUUGUUGGUCAAUUUUUUAUUAGGACACAUUUUCCAAAUGUGAAGCGAUUAAAUGAGAAGGGCGAAACAGUUUUCAUGGUGAGAAAUUCGUUUUUUUAAUGGUACAUGAAGAAGAUCAACGCAAAAAAUAUGCCUUUAGUUUUAGCUGCUUUAAGAAUAUAUCAGGACGAAGUAUAUGAAGAAUAUUUAAAGUCAAAAAUAAUCGAGCUUAAGACAACAAAUAAUUACUUUAAAAUAAAAGUUGACAAGUUAAGCAAGUUUUGUGCGCAUUUUUUUGAAUACAAAAUUGCCACUUCAACUGAAAUACAAAAUGUGAUAACUUAUGAUAUAGUAAAAAAUGCAAAUGCCAUUAUAAAGAGAAGUUGGUUGACGAAGAACCUUAGCAAUAAUAAAAGAUAAGAAAAAAUUUUUAUAAUUUGAUAAUAACCCAGAGAUUUGAAUAUUUUGGUAUUCAUAUUUAAUAGAAAUGAUUUUAAAUUACAAAUGUAAUUUUUUGUAAUUUCAAUAGUUUGUACUCGAACUUUAUAUUAAAAAUUUAAAUAAUAAAUACUUUUUUUAAUUUUUUUAUUUUAUACAUACCUUGAGCAUUUCCAUAUUUUUUUUUUUUUUUUUUGUGAAAAAACCUUUUGAAUUUUUAGCAAUGUGUUAUAUGUGUUUAAUUGAUCAACAUUCAAUUCCAUCCCCUCUUAUAAAAAAAAUUAAAUGACAGUUUUUUAUUACUUUUUAGCGUGUUAUGUUUAUUUAGUAAUUGAAAGACUAUUCUGAAGAAUAAUAAAAAUGUCUAUGUUUUCAAUGAAUAAUUUCUAUGUUUAUAAGACAUGUUUGUAUAAUAUAGACAUAAUUUCUUGCCACUAGAAAUUGAAAGUGUCCUCAUUUACAAUAUAUACCUAUUUUAAAAAUAUACCUAUGAUUUUUAAGAAUAUUGUUUGUGAAGCGACUUUGAUGUAAAAUUCAUCAAUAUUCAGAUGGUAUUUAAAAAAAACGGGCUUUAAAAAAAUAUAAAUAAGCACAACACUUUGAGGUAACAACAAGCGACUAAGAAAAAAUGGAAACUAUCAAGUUUUCUACCAAAACUGCAAAAUAUAUUAACAGUGGCGUUUUACCACCUGGUAUUUUAUCAGUUUUCGAAUGUACGGUAUUGUCCAAAAGUUUGAAUCCAUCUCAAAUUUUUGUCCAAAACUGAUAAUUUUUUGAUUUGUUUAUUUGUAAUUUGUUUUUAUUGUUAUACUAUUGAUUGAUUGUUAGAAAAAUUGCUUGACUCAUACUUUUAUUCUAUUUGUGCUCUAUAUUUUGUGUUUUUGUGUAUUCAAAUUCAGAGGUGGAUAUGAACUUUUGGCCAUUACUGUAGAUUUUAAAAAUAAAUGUUCUGAUUUUAUUACCACUGUUUGUCUUAUAGAUAAAUAUGAUCACUUCAGUAAAAAUGGUUCGAUUGCGAUAAAGGUGACUGUAGUCGUUGUAUUACAGUAAAUCAUUUACAUCUAAAUUUGAUAAAUAGUUCUUUAAUUGAGCAAUAAUUUAUAAGGGCACAUUUUUGAAAUGUGAUGCUACAUAAAUGAGAAGGGCGAAACAGUAUUCAUUGUUAGUGAUUCAUUUUUUCAAUGGGACAUAAAAAAAAAAAAUCGAAGCAAAAAAUAUGCGUUUAGUUAUAU